AGACACUUCAUGGAUUAACUCACUUGAUCCACACAACAAUCCUAUUAGUGCAUCACAUCCAGAGGCACACAGUGGCAGGGUGUUCCGCCGGUUGAUGUGGUCGUCCGCCGGAGUUCUCCAUUGUGCAGGUUAAAAUGAUUCCAGCUGGUCUCAGCAGAGAACUGACCCAGAAGUUGUGACAUAUGAAGAUGCAAGAUGCAAGAGCCACCUUGUAACCAGGAGGAAAAGGCCAAAAGAAUCACAGGCCACAGCCUUGAGGCACUAACUCAAGGAAAGGGAAAGAGAGGAAGGCAGCAAAGCACCAUGGAGCGUUUCCCCAACGUGGAAAUAAAAAGUUCCACCAACCAAAGAGUCUUCUCCUUCCUCCACCGAACAUGUCACCAGCCGCACCAGGAUCUGAGACGGAAGCUGCACGCUGAAGCUCUCGGGCGAUCUACUCCUCCGUUAUGAAUGGAAGGCACCAGCCGCCUUUCUACUUGUCUUCUGAGAGGUUUUAUUCACCCGGGGCUAUAAGAGGA
rnacentral:lncRNA from 1 species